rnacentral:lncRNA from 1 species
GUUUUAUUUAGACUCUGUUGUCUCAGGCAAGGACCCAUGUGUUUGUUGGGAGGGGGAGAGCUGGGAUGGAGCCAAGGAUCCUGUGCACGUGAGGUAAGUGCUCUACCACUGAGCAAACCCCAGCCCACAUUUUGGCUUCCACUCUUGCCUCUGGACCCAGACCAGACUUACCCCAUGAGGCACUGGGCCUUCUGCUCUCAUUGCCAUUCUCAACCCAUCCAGAACUUUUUUGAUGUUUCUUUUUGCUGGCUGCUGCUGACCAGAGAGAAUUAUAGGCAUCAACAAUCCCUAGACUCUACUGUCUAAACUGUGCUAUCCUAGGAGAGUAUAGUUUGUCAGACUGUCUAGAGCCAUGCGAGUGGUUGGGGGAGAUUCAAGAGUCAGGGAUUCUCCAUAGUUUUGGCUUCCUGAGCUUCUAGAGCCAAGAAUGCCUUUUCAAUAUUAUAUACCUCUACCUGUGUUCCUUGGGACUACAGUGUCCUGUGAAAUAUUACCAAACAUUUGUUGAAACACCGUGAGCAGGUAAGACUGAAAACUACCCAAAUAAAUGGAGUUCAACCAGCUUAUUCUGUGCAGAACUUGAUGGGGCCUUUAGUGCACAUACAAGUUGUGCCCCCAGUAUUCAGGGACCCUGAAUCCAACUGAUCACAGUUUUCUGUUAUUUUGCCCACUUCUAUUUGCCUCUGCCUUGAUGAGCUUCAGCAAUGAAGAUAUCCCUCCCUUCUUUCUCAUCCAGCCUUUAAGAAAACCACCCUGCCCCUCCCAUCAUUCCUGUACAUCAGUGGAACAACACGGCUUCCGGCCCAGGACCCUUUACCAGGUCUCUGCCUCGGGCACGAGUUCACUUGUGAGUGGUAUAAAUGACUACAUAAUCCAGGGCCAGGCCAUGACUCCCUCUCAACAAGCUGUCAUUUCUAUCCCACAGUGCAGAGGUCCUGAAAUCCUUGUGUGUGGACUUGCAGAGCCACCCCGUGACACUCUUAUUGUCUGAUACUCCUUUACUCUUGCUGUCUGAUGCCCCUUUCCUGCUGUAGGUGCCUGGGGAACAUGGACACAUCUGAAUGCAUGGCACUCACCCCAUCUCACACCCCAACCCUCAGAAGCUCCCAGCUUAAUGCAAGACUUUCCUCUACAAAAUAAUGGACCGUUCACUGGGCUAGCCUCCACUGGACUCAAGGCCCAGUGGGCCUCCCCAUGGUGGCAUCUCCAGCAUUUUCCACAGUGCUGGGUGUUUCCAGGUUUUCACACGCCUGCUUCUUGAUUUGCUGAUUCAAGGCCCAGGACACUCAGGCCAGGUGGUGACUAGAGGGUGAGGUGCCUCUAGGAUGAGACCACUGGGUCCAGGCCUCCCUGAUUCUUGUGCUCUUGGCUUCUUUCCUUAGUAUCCAUGGUGUUUGGUAUUAGCCCAGUUACAAUAUUUUUCUUUUCCCAUGGGCAUAUAUUGUUUUAUAUUUAGCCUUCUCUAACCCUAAUAUAACUUAUAUGUCUUCUAAUUACCAUCAUUUUUUAAAAUCUGUCUUUCAAUCAGAGCAUUAGUCCAUUUAUAUAUAACAAUAUUUACUAUAUGAGUUAAAUCUACUAUCUUAUCAUUUGCUGUCCAUUUACCCCACCUGUUUUAUGUCUCUUUCUCUCCCCUCUUAUCUUCUUUAAUUAGUAUUUUAUUACUCCAUUUCCCCCCAUUAUGUCGUUGUUAAUAAAUUCUUUACUACCCAUUUAGUGAUUAUCUGAACAAUUACAUCAUUUGACCCUGAAUUGUUAUUGAUGUUUAAUAUAAAUUAUUACUCCUACCAGCUUCCAGACAGUGAAAAGGAGCUAGACCAUUUUAAUUCUGCCUAACCCGCUUCUGACUUACAUACAACUGUUAUCACCUAUAAGUAAUAUGACAAGGCAUAUUACUAAUAUCCCAUGUGGCUAAUAUCCAUUUAAACUUGUUUAUGUCAACUCACAUUUCCAUUGCCCCUUGGUCCUUCCUGCCAACUGGGAUAAUUUUCUCUCAGUCGGAAAAACAAUGUUCAGUAUUUUCUUUGGUACAAGUCUACUGGUAAAGAAUUCUCUCAGUUUUCUUGUCUUUACUGUCUUUGUUUUGCUUUCAUUUUUUUUAACUAGAAAUUUUCAAGCAUUCAGAAGCAGGGGAAAUAAUGUAACUGACUUCUAAAUACUUGUCACCAGUAAGCAAUCAUCUCACCUCCAUGUGUUAAAGAUAUUUUCAGUGGGUAAUCGAGGUUGACAAUUAUUUUCUUUCAACACUUUGAAGACAUUCCAUUGUCUUCCAGCUUCUGCUAUUUCUAUAGAGAAGUCAGCUGUCAGUUUAAUGGAUUCUCCUGUAAGUAGACCUAAUCAAUCAUUUUGGAUCAUUUGAUCAAUCAUGUCUGGUGUUUUAUACACUGUGAGGCUCUGAAUCCUCCAGAGAGGACUGAUUUAUGUCUAUUGCAGGCAGCUAAACAAACCAGAUGCAUUAGCAACUCCAGGUUACCCUGAUGCAAUUGGGAACAGAGAUGAUUCAAAACUAGGCUUCCUUCCUUACAAGGUUUGGUCUUUUUCUGAUGCACUAUUAUUUUUCAAGUAUAGCCCUUUGGGGUGCCCUAGCCCUUUUGUCUACAGAAGGCUCCACUUAGGUUCUCAGCCUCUCCUUCAGUAGUUUUAAACCAAAGAAAACACAUCUGGGCGCUUCUUGAAGAAGAAGCUAAGACUGAGGAAGCCCUGGUGUCCUCCUACCCGGGCUAGACUGCUCCGUGCUCUGCUGGAGCUGCCAUGUGAGUGCUCUCCUCUGGUUCGUGGCAGAGAGCAAGGCCUCUACAGAUCUUCCACAGGUCUCAUGGCGCUUCUCCACUGAUGAGCAAAGUAACAAUCACACUGUAUAACUGAGAACUGGUGACAACCCAUGACACUGAGGCCCACAGCUUUUUAUCCCUACACGUUUGCUCUUAGAACAUUUAAAAAAAAUAAGAACAUGAAGCAUUGCUGUAUUUUUGGCUGAUUGGCUAGUGCAGUUUGGUGGGCUCCUGGGAUGGAAUGAAUGUACCAUCACCUUCCAUAUCUGUGGGUUCUGAAGCUGAGGGUUCAACCAGCCCCAGAUGGAAAGUAUUUAGAAAGCAUGUUCUGCUGUUGCUUGAAGUGUACUAUAUAGUUAGGCCCAUGAUGGCUGAAUCUGUACCAAAUACAUACAGAUUUUCUUUUUCAAGUCACUGUUCUCUAAACAAUAGAGUAUGAUGACUAUUUGCAUAGCACUUACAUUGCGUUAGGUAUUGCAGGCCUUGUAGAGAUGGCUCAAAGGGCACAGGAGGAGGCACAUAGAUGAUAUGCAAAUAACACACCAUUUUAUGUAAGGACCUGAGCAUCCACGAUUUUGGUAUUGGGGUCCUGAAACCAAUCCCCUGUGGAUUUGCAGGUUUGAGUCACAAACAGCCCAUGAGCUAUGUGACCUAUGUCAACAGCUCAAUUAUAGUCUAGAUCAGGUUCAAAUGGACCCCCAAAUUUCCUUUUAUGGAUGACUGUGAUUCAAAGGCUCCAGAGGAAAUAGAAAGUCAGUUUCUGGGUUGGGGGCAGCUCUAGGGGAGUAAAGGGACAGUCCCAGGGGUGUGGGCUCCAGAGGAAAGUCAGUAGCAGCUACUCAGCUCCACUGUUAGCACAGAACAAUGGGGACUCCAGGUGUCAGAUCUUUUAAACUUUCAAAAGGAGCUGAAAGUUCAAAAACUAUGUUAUACCCAGAUUUUAAAAUGUUGGUGUAACUAAAACAAAUCUAGGGCAAGUGUAACAAAAUACAUCUUUGGGCCAAAAUCGGCCCUCACAUCACAGUUUGUGACUUCCUUAAUAAUAAAAGUAAGAAAACAUCAGCUUUGCUUCCUUUUUCAUUCCCU